UUGUGAAACAUUUCAUUAACACAGGCAGGACCAAUUCGCCAGGCUCCUCGAAGAAUUCCCUUAGCAAACCGUGACGUUGUAAACAAGACUACACAUGAAAUGAGCGAAAGCGGCGAGUCCAUGAAGUUCACCUGAGGGACUUUUGAAGAAAAAAGGUGGCAGCAUGAGAGCACAGAGAAGACAACUUUCAGCGAGACUUAUGGACCAAGGAUUGCACUGGAAGACAUGUUUGAUAUAUCUCGACAAUAUCAAUGUGUUGGGUAAAAGUUACACGAUGAUCUUCAAAGCUUGGAAGAGGUUGUUCAACGGAUAGCUAGCGCUGGUCUAAAGCUGAACCCGAUGAAGUGUUCUCUUUUCGAAAAGAACUCUUAGGACAGAAAGGGACAACGGAGGGCAAAAGAUAGAGACAGUAAAAGAUUGGCCAUUCAUUAAAAUGUACAUGAAUUGCUCAUUUUCCUUUGACUGGGUUUUUUUUAUCGUCGAUUCGUUCCCAAUUUUGCCAGCAUAGCUAGUAGUAGGCGCAUCAUAAUAUAGUAAUAUCCCUAAAAUUUAUUUAUUUAAUACCACUUAUAAUAUAUAAGUUGCUUUAUUUCAUCCAUGAAUCAAAUAGAAAUAUUAAAAUAAUAAAUAUGAAUAAGUUUAAUCAUCCAUUUUUAUUUUUGCAAAGAUUUGAUAAUACGCACGUUCUCAUUUUUUAAAUUGUCACGCUCUAACAAUAAAAACAGCAUUUUAAAUAAAUAAAUCACAAUGGUGAACAAAUCAA